UCGAGCGGUAGCACAGAGAGCUUGCUCUCGGGUGACGAGCGGCGGACGGGUGAGUAAUGUCUGGGAAACUGCCUGAUGGAGGGGGAUAACUACUGGAAACGGUAGCUAAUACCGCAUAACGUCGCAAGACCAAAGUGGGGGACCUUCGGGCCUCAUGCCAUCAGAUGUGCCCAGAUGGGAUUAGCUAGUAGGUGGGGUAACGGCUCACCUAGGCGACAAUCCCUAGCUGGUCUAAAAGGAUGACCAGCCACGCUGGAACUGAGACGCGGUCCAGACCCCUAUGGGAGGCAUCAUUGGGGAAUAUUGCCUGGGCGCAAGCCUGAUGCAGCCAUGCCGCGUGUAUGAAGAAGGCCUUCGGGUUGUAAAGUACUUUCAGCGGGGAGGAAGGCGAUAAG
rnacentral:rRNA from 1 species